AGGCUGCAACUCGCCUACACGAAGUUGGAAUUGCUAGUAAUCGUGGAUCAGCAUGCCACGGUGAAUACGUUCCCGGGUCUUGUACACACCGCCCGUCACACCAUGGGAGCUGGUAACACCCGAAGUCAGUAGUCUAACCGCAAGGAGGACGCUGCCGAAGGUGGGAUUAGCGACUGGGGUGAAGUCGUAACAAGGUAAC
rnacentral:rRNA from 1 species